rnacentral:lncRNA from 1 species
AAUGAUUAAGCUAGACAUAAUUUUGAAUAAAAUUUAUUUACAUAUUUAUAAAUAUGUAUAUAAAAUAUUUUUUAGUGUGUAUAUAUAAUAUUUGAUAACUAAAGUAAAUAUUUUAUAUUAUCAAUUUUAUUUUUUAUUUUGUUAUCUCAAUAUAAUUGAUGAUAAUAAUAGUAAUCUCUUUAAAAUUAAUGAUUUUAUUUCCUAGUUAAUAAAGAUAAUUCAAUAUAAACACUAUCAAUAAAUUUAAAAAAUAAGCUUAUUAUGUAAGUAAUAAGAAAUAAUAAGCUUACUUAAAAAAUUUAAUUUAAUGGAUUAUAAUUCUUUUACAUAAUAAAAAUAACAUAAUAUUAUAAUAAAAAAUGAAAAAUAAAAUAAAUAGUCUUUAUAUAGUAAAAGUAAACAUUUAAUUACAAGGCGUUACUUAAUUCGAAUCCAAGGAAUUUCCAAUUUCAUGAUGUCCUUUCACCCAGGUCUUGUGUUUUGUUUUAUAACAGGCUAAUUUACAAUAACUUCAUGUUAAAAGAAAUUAUUAGAGUUAAAUAAAUAUCACUAGAAAGAAUUAAAAAUUUUGAUAGAAAAGCUCACAAAAACUAGGAACUUUCCAUUUUCUUUUUCAACCACCUAAAAGAGGACGUACAUUUAUAAAUCGCACUUUUUUUUUCCUUAUAACCUUGAUGGUGUGAGCGAAUUUGAUUAAAUAUAAUUGACAAUAAAUUGUGCCUAAAUGUAUAUAUAUAUUAAAGGUAGAGUUUACUAACGUAAAAAGUUAUUGAACUUAAGAAUGUUCUGAUUUCAAAACUAAUGAUCUUAUUCUAUUAAACAAUCUAAACAGAGAAUCCAUCAGCCUCUCAUUUACUCUCAUCUAAACAUGAUAAAUUUCAAAUUGCAAUCAUAGAAAUUUUUUACCACAUGCUGAUUGGAGAGUAUGCACGCCAAUUUCUACUUAAGCAAAUCUCGAUUAGGGCAUCUAACUAAGAAAAGGCAAAGAGUUUGUACAAAAUUAACAUUCAAAGAUUACUUUCAAUUUAUUUUUUUUUCAUUUUUUAAACAUCAAGAUAUACAAAUUAAUUCUGAAAAUAAAAGAGAGAGAGAUGUAUAAGAUCGAACUUACGGCUUUUGCCUACGGCUUUUGAGUGUAUUGUAGGAAGCCAGUUAAAUGAACUCCAAUGCAGUAUUUGAUUCAAAGAAUUUAAUCAUGCAAAUAUAUUCUUCUGGCAAAAAAAAAAAAAAGCAAUCAGCAAAUCUGUAUGUAUUUCCUAAAGCAAGUCUUCGUCAAAAAGUGACUUUCUUAAUAAUUAACUCACAUGAUGGAGUUACCAUCAAACUUCCAGGAAGCUUCGAGGAAACUGAGCGAAGAUUAUCCGGCUUUUCAAUUGAUGACGCGUCCAAGCCACUCUGCCCAUUAGCCACGUUGGAUUUCAUUAAAAUGGAAUGGAAUCCAACGGUUGACAUCAAUAAUUGAUAAAACUAGUUAAAUUGCCGCAAUCUAUAGGAAUGGUAAAUCUUUUUAUUAGAAACCUUUUAUUAGUAAAAUUUCAUCUGAGUCUUUAGGAGAUGUUGGAUCAAUUUAAUCAUUUGUAGUUUUACGAUAAUUGUCAUAAACUGUGUUGUAUAAAUAAUCAUUUGUAAAGGUAAUUAAUUAAACGUUUGAUAAAUUUACUUUUAAAAGUUCUGCUAAAUUUUAAAAAUAAUCGUAUGUGUUUGGUAAAUUUUAUUUUAAAACUGUGUUUGGUGUUUCAUCCAAAUACCAAAUAGAAAAAGAUAACAAGAAGAACCUUUUUGUGUUGCAGCCUGCUUCCUAAAAUGUUGAUGCCAUCACCGACAUUCCAUAUGCUAUCUUUUUCAAGCUUCAAUAUUUCGACAAGGAGUUGCCUUUGAAAAGAGAUUACACUGCCUUUGUUUUUAAAUUUUUCUCUAACAUCGGCAAGAAAACUACUCCCUUCAAAUUCAUGAGAGAUCAAGUCAUAAACAACUCUUGCAAGAGUCGUCUUACCUAAACCUCCCAUACCACAAAUCCCUAUCAUACGAACAUCAUCAUUAGGCCCUUUGUUCAUAAGAGACCUUAGUUCUUCCAAGCGUGAAUCUAUUCCCACUAGAUUCUUAAGAGUCUCUGAUUUUACAGGAAUUUUACUUGAUAUCGCCUUGACAAUAUCCGAAAUAAAUUCCGACUCACUCCUGUAGUUAAAGAACAAACAAAGAUCAGUAUGGUUAAAUUACAAAAUAAAAAAUGAAAAAUAAAAUAAAUAGUCUUUAUAUAGUAAAAGUAAACAUUUAAUUACAAGGCGUUACUUAAUUCGAAUCCAAGGAAUUUCCAAUUUCAUGAUGUCCUUUCACCCAGGUCUUGUGUUUUGUUUUAUAACAGGCUAAUUUACAAUAACUUCAUGUUAAAAGAAAUUAUUAGAGUUAAAUAAAUAUCACUAGAAAGAAUUAAAAAUU